rnacentral:rRNA from 2 species
UCUGAGCUCAAAUCAGGUAGGACUACCCGCUGAACUUAAGCAUAUCAAUAA